AGUCGAGCGGUAGAGAGAAGCUUGCUUCUCUUGAGAGCGGCGGACGGGUGAGUAAUGCCUAGGAAUCUGCCUGGUAGUGGGGGAUAACGUUCGGAAACGGACGCUAAUACCGCAUACGUCCUACGGGAGAAAGCAGGGGACCUUCGGGCCUUGCGCUAUCAGAUGAGCCUAGGUCGGAUUAGCUAGUUGGUGGGGUAAUGGCUCACCAAGGCGACGAUCCGUAACUGGUCUGAGAGGAUGAUCAGUCACACUGGAACUGAGACACGGUCCAGACUCCUACGGGAGGCAGCAGUGGGGAAUAUUGGACAAUGGGCGAAAGCCUGAUCCAGCCAUGCCGCGUGUGUGAAGAAGGUCUUCGGAUUGUAAAGCACUUUAAGUUGGGAGGAAGGGCAGUUGCCUAAUACGUAACUGUUUUGACGUUACCGACAGAAUAAGCACCGGCUAACUCUGUGCCAGCAGCCGCGGUAAUACAGAGGGUGCAAGCGUUAAUCGGAAUUACUGGGCGUAAAGCGCGCGUAGGUGGUUUGUUAAGUUGGAUGUGAAAUCCCCGGGCUCAACCUGGGAACUGCAUUCAAAACUGACUGACUAGAGUAUGGUAGAGGGUGGGUGGAAUUUCCUGUGUAGCGGUGAAAUGCGUAGAUAUAGGAAGGAACACCAGUGGCGAAGGCGACCACCUGGACUAAUACUGACACUGAGGUGCGAAAGCGUGGGGAGCAAACAGGAUUAGAUACCCUGGUAGU
rnacentral:rRNA from 1 species